CCUUAGUCUUAACCGGUUGUUAGGGACUCCCCCGUAAAGUCAUCGUUAUCCAGUCCUCUGGAUCUGAGUGGCCUGUUCCACUCUGUUUGACGCCUCCCUGUUAACUUCCUGAGCCGCCGUUUCGGCGGCUCCUUUUUU
rfam:Methyloceanibacter caenitepidi DNA, complete genome, strain: Gela4.